rnacentral:pre_miRNA from 1 species
NAUUUCAUCUAAGAAGUCAUCAACGACAAAGUUGUAUAACUCAUCAAGACCUAUAACUUUUAUUUUUGUUAUUUCUUCAUCCGAUAAAGUGUUAGUAACAUUGCUAACAAAAUUGACAUAUCUGUGUUAUAGUUUAUAAAACCAAAUGAGAGAUAUGUGAAUUUUGUAAACAAUGUUACUAUCACUUUGUUGGAUGAAGAAAUGACCAAAAUAAAAGUUAUAGAUCUUGAUGAGUUAUACAAUUUUGUUGUGAUGACCUUUUGAAUUGAAAUC